GACGAACGCUGGCGGCGUGCUUAACACAUGCAAGUCGAACGGAAAGGCCCUGCUUUUGUGGGGUGCUCGAGUGGCGAACGGGUGAGUAACACGUGAGUAACCUGCCCUUGACUUUGGGAUAACUUCAGGAAACUGGGGCUAAUACCGGAUAGGAGCUCCUGCUGCAUGGUGGGGGUUGGAAAGUUUCGGCGGUUGGGGAUGGACUCGCGGCUUAUCAGCUUGUUGGUGGGGUAGUGGCUUACCAAGGCUUUGACGGGUAGCCGGCCUGAGAGGGUGACCGGCCACGUGGGGACGAGAUCACGCCCAGGCCUCCGACGGGAGGCAGCGGUGGGAAAUUUUGCACAAGGGGCGGAGGCUGUAGGCAGCACCGCCGCGUGCGGGAGGACGGCUGUGGUUUUGUAACCCGUUUUCCCGUGGGAAGAAGGGGGAGUGAGGGGAGGGGGUAAAAAACCCCGGCCAAACUACGUG
rnacentral:rRNA from 1 species